UACGAAGGGGGCUAGCGUUGUUCGGAAUUACUGGGCGUAAAGCGCGCGCAGGCGGUCUUCCAAGUCAGUGGUGAAAGCCCGGAGCUCAACUCCGGAACUGCCAUUGAAACUGUGAGACUUGAGGAUGAGAGAGGUGAGUGGAAUUCCCAGUGUAGAGGUGAAAUUCGUAGAUAUUGGGAAGAACACCGGUGGCGAAGGCGGCUCACUGGCUCAUUUCUGACGCUCAGGCGCGACAGCGUGGGGAUCGAAACAAGG
rnacentral:rRNA from 1 species